CCCUCGGGCUGGCGGAGGCGCCGGAGGAGCCCCCGAGCUGCAGCCGUCUCCCUCGGGCUGCUGCCGGUGCUGCGGGCGGAGGCGGCUCCGCCGCGUGUUGGGCGCUGCGAGCAGGGAGCGCUGCGGUAUCGCCGGCAUGACGGGGUUGCUGCCUGCGUUAGUGCUCGUGGCUCUUUGUGCCGUGACAGCGGAUGGAGCGGCGCUGGGCGGUAAAGCCAGAGAUGGCCGGGAGAAUGCCCAGCGCAGGGAGCGGGCGGGCUGUAUGCUUCGGAUGGCACAGGUGCGAGCUGCAAAGUCACCCCCCCUUCCGCCCCUGCCCUCCCGAGCCCCAGGGAAAAUGCUUUCCAGCAUUGUCGAGCUUCUGAAAGACAAAACUUGUGAUCUGACACUUGCAUCCAGAAAAGGUUUCUGUCUAGAUUAGCAAAUGCCUCAAUUGUUCUUGGUUACAUCCCAUGACCGGUUUUAGGCAGCGACUUUAUAAUGCUUUUAGGAUUUUCUUGUACAAUGGUGAGAAAAUAGGCAGGUCUGAUAGUGGUUUCACUUUUUGUUCUACUUCACGUUCCGUAAGAUUCUUUUAUGCAAGCACUUGUUUUAAAAUUCUACUGUAAGCGUUUAUGGUUCACUUUUUUUUUCUUUGCAGCACCCGUGACUUUUUUUUCCCUCUAAAUCAGGAGUAAAUAUAGCUGAGUAAAAUUACCUUGAUUUUCUUCCUUCUUUUUUAACUGAAUUGUUUUUAUUAAAAAUCCUAUUUGAAUAUGUAGAAAAAGUGGGGAUGUCUUGUAAUAUAUCGUAGCUUUUCUUGUUUACAGGAUACUCAGAAAAUAUGUCUCCCUUAGAGUCCCACAGAAACGUUCUCAGUGCGAUCUCUAUCAAGUGCUAUGAGUCUUGAUCAAUUGGAGAAGAGCCCAAGAGAAAUUUUUCAUCCCUUGAUAUAAAAGGAAUCAGUGAAUUUUAACUUUGGAGUCCCCUAUGCUAAGGAUGCUCAGCUUACAGGUGAUGAAAUGUUCAGUAAUGUAUUUGCUGCAGCUCUGCUUACCCAAGCUUUGGGUUCCUUCUGUCCCACUGGGAGUUGCCCAAUUUGGUUGCAUCUGGUGAAAUUCACCCUGAGACCUUACAGAACCAGCUCCAACUACAUGAGAGCCAUUUGCAGUUCUCUCCAGACGCCUGGAGAAUGGGCGACGUUUCUGAGGAUCCGGCGAGCGUGCUUCUGUCAAAACUCAGUCUGUGAAAUUCCUGGGGAAAACCCUUCUGUGUCCUGAAGGGUUCAAACUCUGGUGAGGAUCCAGUUAUCAGGUGCUCACCUGGAUGGUUCCAGCUGCCAAAGGGAAAGACUCUCGUGUCCUUGUCGUCGGGCUCGGUGCUGUCCAAGAAGAUACGGGGACUAAAAAAAUCAUAAGAAGCAAAAUACGACUGCAGGGAAAAGAAGCUGGAGAGAACAGAAGAGCCCUGUUGUACUAAUCUUCAUACAAGUACAAAACAACAAAUCAGACCCUGUCCCAACCACUUAGAGCCCAGAACACGAUUUCCUCGGGCUGCCAUUUGUGUGCCAUCGGUACUCACCGUGGAAGGGAGCUGGGGAUUGUUGCAGCUGUUGGGAACGAACUGCUUCUCGUCACACAGAAAUGGAAUUGGGACGACGCCUCGGCCAGCCCCUCUGUGCCAUCGUCUCCUGAAUCUGCAGCAGAGCAGUUCCAGUCCAUCCGGGCACGUGUAAUCCAGUUCCUGAUGAUCUGAGCACACAGAGCAGCGCUCAGCUGCUGUGGGGGGCUCAGGGAGGGCAGAGUGUGCAUUGUCAUCUUCCUGAACCUACAGACAAAUCAAAGUGAGAAGCCACAGGGUGGAAAUCAGUCACAUAUAUGCUAAAUAAAACUUGCAGAUUUUUUUAAGAA